CCAGGAUUCAUCAGGAGUCUUGUUGCCAGAUGCCUUUCUACCUGGACAGUGAGGAACAACAGGACAAGCUUUUUGGGUUCCUAAAGGCUGUACUGCACAGAACACCAACACAGCUGAGCUUCACAGAUGCAGUGCAGUUCAUCUGUGGUGUUCUCUUUCCAGAGGCCAUCAUAUGUGGGCUGUCUAUGCAGGACAAUCUGUCCCUGCAGGAGGCUGAGCAGGUCUUCUUCAGUGGUGCUGCUUACCAUCAAAGUGAUAAUGUCUGACUACUAUUUCAGUGAAGUGGAGGAAUUCUCCUGAAGGAUCAAAAGACCUGAAGAAAGAAGGCAGACUGUUGGUAUGUGCUGCUCAUUUCAAAGGAGCUGUAUUGGCAUGAACUGUUAAAAAUAAAAUAUAUUUUAUUAACUAAGUGAAAUAUGUUCAGUU